rnacentral:rRNA from 1 species
GACGGAGGAGGCAAGCAUUGUCCGGAAUUAUUGGGCGUAAAGAACACGUAGGCGGUUUAUCAAGUCAUAAGUGAAAACCUUGGGCUUAACUUAAGGAUUGCAUAUGAUACUGGUAAGCUUGAGUACAGUAGAGGAAAGCGGAAUUCCUGGUGUAGCGGUGAAAUGCGCAGAUAUCAGGAAGAACACCAGUGGCGAAAGCGGCUUUCUGGACUGUUACUGACGCUGAGGUGUGAAAGCUAGGGUAGCGAACAGGAUUAGAUACCCUGGUAGUCCUAGCCGUAAACGAUGGACACUAGGUGUGGGGAGUUAUCGACGCUCUCUGUGCCGAAGCUAACGCAUUAAGUGUCCCGCCUGGGGAGUACGGUCGCAAGACUAAAACUCAAAGGAAUUGACGGGGGCCCGCACAAGCGGCGGAGCAUGUGGCUUAAUUCGACGCAACGCGAAGAACCUUACCAAGGCUUGACAUCGUAUUGACAAGUACAGAAAUGUACCUCCUUCGGGCAGUAUGACAGGUGGUGCAUGGCU